rnacentral:tRNA from 1 species
GAGCCACUGGCUCAAUGAUUAGAGCGUUUGAAUCCUAAUCAAAAGGUCGCGGGUUCAAGCCUCCUUUGCCGCA